rnacentral:antisense_RNA from 1 species
CAUUUUUUAAUUUCUGAUUAAAAUGUUGACAAAUAUUACACAUGCGGUG